UACGUAGGGUCCGAGCGUUGUCCGGAGUUACUGGGCGUAAAGCGCGCGCAGGCGGCGGUGCUGGCCCGGCGUGAAAGCCUCCGGCUCAACCGGGGAGGGUCGUCGGGGACCGCACCGCUUGAGGGCGGUAGGGGCUGGUGGAAUGCCUGGUGUAGUGGUGAAAUGCGUAGAGAUCAGGCGGAACACCAGUGGCGAAGGCGGCCAGCUGGGCCGUCCCUGACGCUGAGGCACGAAGGCGUGGGGAGCGAACGGG
rnacentral:rRNA from 1 species